rnacentral:pre_miRNA from 1 species
UUAUUACUCCCUCCGUCCCAAAAUUCUUGUCUUAGAUUUGUCUAAAUACGGAUGUAUCAAGUCACAUUUUAGUAUUAGAUACAUCCGUAUCUAGACAAAUCUAAGACAAGAAUUUUGGGACGGAGGGAGUAUUUC